rnacentral:rRNA from 1 species
CACGUAGGGCGCGAGCGUUGUCCGGAAUUAUUGGGCGUAAAGAGCUCGUAGGCGGCCUGUUGCGUCCGCUGUGAAAGCCCGGGGCUUAACCCCGGGUCUGCAGUGGAUACGGGCAGGCUAGAGGUAGGUAGGGGAGAAUGGAAUUCCUGGUGUAGCGGUGGAAUGCGCAGAUAUCAGGAGGAACACCGGUGGCGAAGGCGGGUCUCUGGGCCGUUACUGACGCUGAGGAGCGAAAGCGUGGGGAGCGAACAGG